GACGAACGCUGGCGGCGUGCUUAAUACAUGCAAGUCGAGCGGACGGGCGAUGCUCUUGCGGGUUGCUUGUGUGGCGCACGGGUGAGUAACACGUGAGUAUAACGUACCUGUAUUUGUGAUAUCUUCAGGGGAAACCGGAUAAUAUCGCAUAGGAGCUUCUGAUGCGUAGUGGGGGAUGGAAAGAUACGGUGGUGCUGGAUGUACUCGCGGUGUACCAGCUUGUUGGGGGGGUAGUGGAUUACCAAGCCUUCGAUGGAUAGCCGACCUGAGAGGGUGAUCGGCCACACUGGAACUGAGCCACGGUCCAGAGUCCUACGGGAGGCAGCAGUAGGCAAUCGUACGCAAUGGGGGAGAGCCUGACGGAGCAACGCCGCGUCAGUGAUGACGGUCUUCGGAUCGUAAAACUCUGUUAUUAGGUAAGAACAUAUGUGUCCGUAAAUGUGCACAUAUUGACGGUAAUGAAUAAGAAAGCACCGGCUAACUACGUG
rnacentral:rRNA from 1 species